AUGAACACCAACGUUUUCCAAGUUUGUUAUGUUUCCUCUCAGAAUUGUUUUAUUUAUCUCCCCCAAGUGUCAUUCAAGCACAUAAUCAAAUCCGACAACAAAAUCAAGGUCUUCUCUGUCCGCAGAUUUGACUCUGAUGAAAUCACACCCACAGCAUAUUUCAGUGGACAGUUGUCAAAUUCUCUUCCUGAUGGAUGUAUUGGCUUAAACCCUGUGUACGCUAGAUUAUUGAAUAUCCCAGAGAAGUUAACCGUCUGUGUGUCAGAGGUAACACAUUUUGUAUCUGUUGCGAAGGCCUCUAUCACUCCAUUGACACCAGAUGACUAUGAUAUUUUGGAAAGUUGUGCUAAUCAUGUAGAGGAAAGUCUUUUAACGCAGCUGCGGAUAGUUUGGUCCACUCAAGUGUUCCCAAUUUGGAUCUCAAAAUCUCUUUCAAUGAAUCUGAGAGUCGAUUUUAUCGAACCAAAUUCAGAUGUUGGAUGCCUCGAGCAAUUUUCAGAACUAGUUAUCAACUACGCUGAUGAUAAGCAUAAACACGCACCAAACAAUAAAUCGGAUAAUGUUACUAGAAAUACAGAAAGUUCCUCUUCCCCUUCGAACUGUCCUUCCGAUUAUUUCAAGGAAUAUUUCAAAGAAGAAGCAUGGCCACUAUUAACAAGUGAAACAAUUUCAAGUUCAAAAGAAAUUAAAAAAAAUUUCUAUUUCCGAGUUCAUCCAAGCUCAGCAUUAACAUUUUAUAUGCCUCCCCUCUGCUUACUCAUCCGUUUAACUGUUUCGUUUUUCGCAAACACCUUCCAAAACUGUGGGUUUUUAGGCAGAGACCAUGGCUGUGCAAGAUUACCAAAGUUGAUUUGGUACUAUCUGAUUCUCCAAAAAGUAACCCUAAAACAGUAGUACCUGAAAAUGUUCCAGAAAAUGAAUUUAUACCUGCAGAUGAUAAUGAAUCUGUUUUCUAUAUUGCUAUCAAUGUAAUUGAAGAUUUAGAUAAGUCACUAAUAAAUUAUAAGCAUAUUCCUCAUCACAAGUGUGUGUAUGUUUCCAAUGAGGUGAUGCAAAUGUUACGAAUUAAUGUCUGUGAUAGACUCAAAGUCGAGAAUUGUGAAAUUAAUUGCUCCAUACAGGAACCAACUGUGAUAUUCUUUUCUCCACUGGACAUUUGUGUGAGUAUUUUUAGUUGUGUUCUUACUUAGAUGUCUUACCCAUUCUUUGACAUUGUAUGUGGAGUAUUCAGGUUCAAUCACAAGUUGACUUCAGUAAUUUCCAGCCCUGAGUGUGUCCUAAAAUGGUUUUUCUUUUGGCUUUACUGAGAGCUGACAGCGUGCACGAGCAAAAUGCAUCCUUAGAUUGAGAUCUCAGUUCCUACUUCAUUUUAUUUCAUCUUGACACAAUUGCUAUUUUUUUUUCAAAAGUUAUCACAGGGCAAUUGUCGACACGUCGCAUUUUGUUUUGAGAAGUAACCAUGAACUAAAAUGAUCAUCAAACAAGAAAAGUGCAAAAAGUAAAAUCGGAAUUGCUAAAAUUUAAAAAAACCCAAAACUUUAAUAGCAUGCCUCGCCUGCUGAAGAGGGAGGCCGGUAGACUGUCCAAAACGACUUUUAUAAUAUUUAUUAUUAAUUAAAUAAUUAGUAUUAACAAUAUUAAUAUUUGUAUAAUAUUAUAUUAUUAAUAUUAGUAUUAAUAAUUAUUAUGAGAAAAGUUUUAAGUUUUUUUUAAUUUCAGCGAUUGCAAUUUUUGCAUAUUAUGAACUGCUCUAAUCAUAAUAGUUUGAUACUGUGCUGAUUAAGAAUCACUGCCGAAUUUUUCUCAUUUAUGUUUUUACUCUUAGGUAUCUGUUUUUUAUCAGGUUUUCAAAAUAAAACAUUCAAUAGGACGUUUUGAUUCAGAUUUCACCUAUAGAUUCAGUUCAUUCUUAUUUGUCAUCUGUUUUUUUGGUUAUUUAUCUAUCUUUUUGUAUCUUCUUUGGCAGGUUAGUGAGGAUGAAGAGAUAGAAUUUCAAAAGCAACUGAAAAUUCACUUACAAAAUUGUCUGGAAGAAAGCUCUCCAUUUUUAUUGAAUCGCACAUCAUUGUUAUCCAUGCCUUACCGGAAUAGCGAGUGUAAAUUAAAGCUCGUUAUUAGCUCAGACAAGUCAAAAGUGUUCUUAUUAACUAGGGAUAGUCUCAGAUUUUUGAGUUUUCGACUUUUGCGCAAGUGUCCACACAAAUCUGAUUGGUCCCCUAGGCAGGAUACUCUCAAAUUGAAUUUAGAUGACCUUUGUACUGUGUAAGUACCCAAUUCAUGCCUAUUAAUGUUUAUUUUAUUUUUUAUCUUUUUGUUUCUCACUUAAAUUUUAGUCAACUCAAUUUACACUAUGGAAUUUUAUAGAUAAUAUAUAUAUAUCUGUAUAUUGACUGUCAAUAGUUGAGUCUUGCACACUGGAUAUUUGGGUAU
rnacentral:lncRNA from 1 species